rnacentral:rRNA from 1 species
CAGCAGUCGCCACGGGAAUACAGAGGGUGCGAGCGUUAAUCGGAUUUACUGGGCGUAAAGCGUGCGUAGGCGGCUUUUUAAGUCGGAUGUGAAAUCCCUGAGCUUAACUUAGGAAUUGCAUUCGAUACUGGGAAGCUAGAGUAUGGGAGAGGAUGGUAGAAUUCCAGGUGUAGCGGUGAAAUGCGUAGAGAUCUGGAGGAAUACCGAUGGCGAAGGCAGCCAUCUGGCCUAAUACUGACGCUGAGGUACGAAAGCAUGGGGAGCAAACAGGAUUAGAUACCCCGGUAGUCCCUGUCUCUUAUAC